rnacentral:rRNA from 1 species
CAGUAGCCGCGGGAAUACGGAGGGUGCAAGCGUUAAUCGGAAUUACUGGGCGUAAAGCGCACGCAGGCGGUCUGUCAAGUCAGAUGUGAAAUCCCCGGGCUUAACCUGGGAACUGCAUUUGAAACUGGCAGGCUAGAGUCUUGUAGAGGGGGGUAGAAUUCCAGGUGUAGCGGUGAAAUGCGUAGAGAUCUGGAGGAAUACCGGUGGCGAAGGCGGCCCCCUGGACAAAGACUGACGCUCAGGUGCGAAAGCGUGGGGAGCAAACAGGAUUAGAGACCCGCGUAGUCCCUGUCUCUUAUAC